UCUUUGGUAGUAUAGUGGUUAGUAUACUCGCUUGUCAUUAACAGUGUCCGCGAGUGACCGGGGUUCAAUUCCCCGCCAGAGAG